GUAGGGUCCAAGCGUUAAUCGGGAAUUACUGGGGCGUAAAGCGUGCGCAGGCGGUUGUGCAAGACCGAUGUGAAAUCCCCGGGGCUUAACCUGGGAAUUGCAUUGGUGACUGCACGGCUAGAAUGUGUCAGAGGGGGGUAGAAUUCCACGUGUAGCAGUGAAAUGCGUAGAGAUGUGGAGGAAUACCGAUGGCGAAGGCAGCCCCCUGGGAUAACACUGACGCUCAUGCACGAAAGCGUGGGGAGCAAACAGGAUUAGAUACCCUGGUAGUCCACGCCCUAAACGAUGUCAACUAGUUGUUGGGGAUUCAUUUCCUUAGUAACGUAGCUAACGCGUGAAGUUGACCGCCUGGGGAGUACGGUCGCAAGAUUA
rnacentral:rRNA from 1 species